rnacentral:rRNA from 1 species
AUUGAACGCUGGCGGCAGGCUUAACACAUGCAAGUCGAGCGAGUGGCGGACGGGUGAGUAAUGUCUGGGAAACUGCCUGAUGGAGGGGGAUAACUACUGGAAACGGUAGCUAAUACCGCAUACCAUCAGAUGUGCCCAGAUGGGAUUAGCUAGUAGGUGGGGUAACGGCUCACCUAGGCGACGAUCCCUAGCUGGUCUGAGAGGAUGACCUGCCACACGGGAACUGAGACACGGUCCAGACUCCGACGGGUGGCAGCAGGGGGGAAUAUUGCACAAUGGGCGCAAGCCUGAUGCAGCCAUGCCGCGUGUAUGAAGAAGGCCUUCGGGUUGUAGAGCACUUUCAGCGAGGAGGCGUUACUCGCAGAAGAAGCACCGGCUAACUCCGUGCCAGCGGCCGCGGUAAUUC